AGAAUCAACGCUGGCGGCGUGCCUAACACAUGCAAGUCGCACGAGAAAGGGUAGCAAUACCUGAGUACAGUGGCGCACGGGUGAGUAACACGUGAAUAAUCUACCUCCGAGUGGGGAAUAACUGAGAGAAAUCUUAGCUAAUACCGCAUAAUACCCACGGGUCAAAGCAGCAAUGCGCUUGGAGAGGAGUUCGCGGCAGAUUAGUUAGUUGGCGGGGUAAUGGCCCACCAAGACGAUGAUCUGUAUCCGGCCUGAGAGGGCGCACGGACACACUGGAACUGAAACACGGUCCAGACUCCUACGGGAGGCAGCAGUGGGGAAUUUUGCGCAAUGGGGGAAACCCUGACGCAGCAACGCCGCGUGGAGGAUGAAGCCCCUUGGGGUGUAAACUCCUUUCGAUCGGGAAGAUAAUGACGGUACCGAUAUAAGAAGCCCGGCUAACGUUCGCGCCAGCAGCCGC
rnacentral:rRNA from 1 species